CAGCACCGAAUCCCGCGGCCGAUAUCGGGCGCCGGGAAAUGUGGUGUUAGGGAGGAUCCGUUUAUCCCGAGGUCGUGCGGUGCGUCCAAGUCCUUCUUGAACGGGGCCACAGCCCAUAGAGGGUGCCAGGCCCGUAGCGACCGCUGCCGACCGCGGGAGGAUCUCUCCUCAGAGUCGGGUUGCUUGAGAGUGCAGCCCUAAGUGGGUGGUAAACUCCAUCUAAGGCUAAAUAUGACCACGAGACCGAUAGCGAACAAGUACCGUGAGGGAAAGUUGAAAAGCACUUUGAAGAGAGAGUUCAAGAGUACGUGAAACCGUUCAGGGGUAAACCUGAGAAACCCGAAAGGUCGAAAGGGGAAAUUCAUUCGCGUUUCGGCCGUCGGCGUCGGAUGGUCGUGUGACGGAUGGCUUACGGGUCGUCUGCGCCUUCCUUCCUUCGAACCGACGUCGAACGCGUGCACUUUUCCCCUAGUAGGACGUCGCGAUCCGUUGGGUGUCGGUCUAAGGCGCUUGCGGUGGAGCCCGCGCGGACGUUUCGGCGUUCGCUCGGACCCGUGGUGUUCUGGCCGACUCGCUCGACGGUAUACAGAUGGCGCGGGGCCGCUACUACUCAGUUAGCGUUCGGCCUGCGGCAAGCGCGUUCGGCGUUUGACGGCGAUCGGACCCGGUGCCGGUCCUGUCCCCGAACGACUGUUGGCCGUGGUGUUCUCGAACAGACCUCGUUUAUGAAACGCCGAUCUGCGACGCUAUAGCUUUGGGUACUUUCAGGACCCGUCUUGAAACACGGACCAAGGAGUCUAGCAUGUGCGCGAGUCAUUGGGACAUAACUAAACCUAAAGGCGCAAUGAAAGUGAAGGUCCGCCUUGCGCGGACCGAGGGAGGAUGGGCGGUUCGCCCUUAAAAGCGGCCGCUCCGCACUCCCGGGGCGUCUCGUUCUCAUCGCGAGAAGAGGCGCACCAAGAGCGUACACGCUGGACCCGAAAGAU
rnacentral:rRNA from 1 species